UACGUAGGCAGCGAGCGUUGUUCGGAAUUACUGGGCGUAAAGAGUGUGUAGGCGGUGUUCCCAGUCUGUUGUGAAAUCUCCCGGCUUAACUGGGAGGGUGCAGCGGAAACUAGAAUGCUAGAGGGUGGAGAGGUAAGCGGAAUUCCUGGUGUAGCGGUGAAAUGCGUAGAUAUCAGGAGGAACACCUGUGGUGUAGACAGCUUACUGGACCACUUCUGACGCUGAGGCGCGAAAGCGUGGGGAGCAAACAGG
rnacentral:rRNA from 1 species